rnacentral:rRNA from 1 species
CACGGGGGUUGCGAGCGUUGUCCGGAUUUAUUGGGCGUAAAGAGCGCGUAGGCGGCUUGUUAAGUCAGAUGUGAAAACCGGGGGCUCAACCCGCGGCCUGCAUCUGAAACUGGCAGGCUUGAGUCUGGUAGAGGAAAGUGGAAUUCCCAGUGUAGCGGUGAAAUGCGCAGAUAUUGGGAGGAACACCAGUGGCGAAGGCGGCUUUCUGGGCCACGACUGACGCUGAGGCGCGAAAGCUAGGGGAGCGAACAGG